AUGUACCACUCGUACACGCAGGUUCCUCCGCGUCGCCCACGCCCACCUGACGACUGCUCGCUACGUUUCGUUAGCC
rnacentral:sRNA from 1 species